rnacentral:misc_RNA from 1 species
GAACGCACAUUGCGCCCCCUGGUAUUCCGGGGGGCAUGCCUGUUCGAGCGUCAUUUCACCACUCAAGCCUCGCUUGGUAUUGGGCGUCGCGAGUCUCUCGCGCGCCUCAAAGUCUCCGGCUGUUUGACCCGUCUCCCAGCGUUGUGGCAACUAUUUCGCAGUGGAGUUCGAGUUGGAUCGGCCGUUAAAUCUUUCAAAGGUUGACCUCGGAUCAGGUAGGGAUACCCGCUGAACUUAAG